CGCCUUGCCAGCCCGCUCAGAAACUUAAAGGAAUUGACGGGGGCCCGCACAAGCGGUGGAGCACGUGGUUAAUUCGAUGCAAACCGAAGAACCUUACCUGGGUUUGACAUGUACGUGGUACGGAUCUGAAAGGUGAAGGACCCCGGUCUUCGGACUGGGAGCGUACACAGGUGCUGCAUGGCUGUCGUCAGCUCGUGUCGUGAGAUGUUGGGUUAAGUCCCGCAACGAGCGCAACCCUUGCCUUUAGUUGCCAGCAGUUCGGCUGGGCACUCUAAAGGGACUGCCGGUGUUAAACCGGAGGAAGGUGGGGAUGACGUCAAGUCCUCAUGGCCUUUAUGACCAGGGCUACACACGUACUACAAUGGCCGAUACAAAGGGCAGCGACACUGCGAGGUGAAGCCAAUCCCGUAAAAUCGGUCUCAGUCCGGAUUGGAGUCUGCAACUCGACUCCAUGAAGUUGGAAUCGCUAGUAAUCGUGGAUCAGCAUGCCACGGUGAAUACGUUCCCGGGCCUU
rnacentral:rRNA from 1 species